rnacentral:rRNA from 1 species
UACGUAGGGUGCGAGCGUUAUCCGGAAUUAUUGGGCGUAAAGAGCUCGUAGGCGGUUUGUCGCGUCUGCUGUGAAAACUGGGGGCUCAACCCCCCAGCCUGCAGUGGGUACGGGCAGACUAGAGUGCGGUAGGGGAGAUUGGAAUUCCUGGUGUAGCGGUGGAAUGCGCAGAUAUCAGGAGGAACACCGAUGGCGAAGGCAGAUCUCUGGGCCGUAACUGACGCUGAGGAGCGAAAGCAUGGGGAGCGAACAGG